CACAUAGUGCUAGGCUGUGGUGUGGCUGCUUCACCACUGCCACUGUGCUGCGCAGCACGGCAGCAGUGGAGCAGCUGCUGAGCAGCACAGAGGCAGCGGUGAAGCAGCCACACCACAGUCUAGCAC
rnacentral:pre_miRNA from 1 species